rnacentral:rRNA from 1 species
GGUCAAGUGAAGAAGCGCAUACGGUGGAUGCCUUGGCAGUCAGAGGCGAUGAAAGACGUGGUAGCCUGCGAAAAGCUUCGGGGAGUCGGCAAACAGACUUUGAUCCGGAGAUCUCUGAAUGGGGAAACCCACCUAGGAUAACCUAGGUAUCUUGUACUGAAUCCAUAGGUGCAAGAGGCGAACCAGGGGAACUGAAACAUCUAAGUACCCUGAGGAAAAGAAAUCAACCGAGAUUCCCUUAGUAGUGGCGAGCGAACGGGGAUUAGCCCUUAAGCUUCAUUGAUUUUAGCGGAACGCUCUGGAAAGUGCGGCCAUAGUGGGUGAUAGCCCCGUACGCGAAAGGAUCUUUGAAGUGAAAUCGAGUAGGACGGAGCACGAGAAACUUUGUCUGAACAUGGGGGGACCAUCCUCCAAGGCUAAAUACUACUGACUGACCGAUAGUGAACCAGUACCGUGAGGGAAAGGCGAAAAGAACCCCGGAGAGGGGAGUGAAAUAGAACCUGAAACCGUAUGCGUACAAGCAGUGGGAGCCUACUUGUUAGGUGACUGCGUACCUUUUGUAUAAUGGGUCAGCGACUUAUAUUCAGUGGCAAGCUUAACCGUAUAGGGUAGGCGUAGCGAAAGCGAGUCUUAAUAGGGCGUUUAGUCGCUGGGUAUAGACCCGAAACCGGGCGAUCUAUCCAUGAGCAGGUUGAAGGUUAGGUAACACUGACUGGAGGACCGAACCCACUCCCGUUGAAAAGGUAGGGGAUGACUUGUGGAUCGGAGUGAAAGGCUAAUCAAGCUCGGAGAUAGCUGGUUCUCCUCGAAAGCUAUUUAGGUAGCGCCUCAUGUAUCACUCUGGGGGGUAGAGCACUGUUUCGGCUAGGGGGUCAUCCCGACUUACCAAACCGAUGCAAACUCCGAAUACCCAGAAGUGCCGAGCAUGGGAGACACACGGCGGGUGCUAACGUCCGUCGUGAAAAGGGAAACAACCCAGACCGCCAGCUAAGGUCCCAAAGUUGUGGUUAAGUGGUAAACGAUGUGGGAAGGCUUAGACAGCUAGGAGGUUGGCUUAGAAGCAGCCAUCCUUUAAAGAAAGCGUAAUAGCUCACUAGUCGAGUCGGCCUGCGCGGAAGAUGUAACGGGGCUCAAACCACACACCGAAGCUGCGGGUGUCACGUAAGUGACGCGGUAGAGGAGCGUUCUGUAAGCCUGUGAAGGUGAGUUGAGAAGCUUGCUGGAGGUAUCAGAAGUGCGAAUGCUGACAUGAGUAACGACAAUGGGUGUGAAAAACACCCACGCCGAAAGACCAAGGGUUCCUGCGCAACGUUAAUCGACGCAGGGUUAGUCGGUUCCUAAGGCGAGGCUGAAAAGCGUAGUCGAUGGGAAACAGGUUAAUAUUCCUGUACUUCUGGUUACUGCGAUGGAGGGACGGAGAAGGCUAGGCCAGCUUGGCGUUGGUUGUCCAAGUUUAAGGUGGUAGGCUGAAAUCUUAGGUAAAUCCGGGGUUUCAAGGCCGAGAGCUGAUGACGAGUCGUCUUUUAGAUGACGAAGUGGUUGAUGCCAUGCUUCCAAGAAAAGCUUCUAAGCUUCAGGUAACCAGGAACCGUACCCCAAACCGACACAGGUGGUCGGGUAGAGAAUACCAAGGCGCUUGAGAGAACUCGGGUGAAGGAACUAGGCAAAAUGGCACCGUAACUUCGGGAGAAGGUGCGCCGGCUAGGGUGAAGGAUUUACUCCGUAAGCUCUGGCUGGUCGAAGAUACCAGGCCGCUGCGACUGUUUAUUAAAAACACAGCACUCUGCAAACACGAAAGUGGACGUAUAGGGUGUGACGCCUGCCCGGUGCCGGAAGGUUAAUUGAUGGGGUUAGCGCAAGCGAAGCUCUUGAUCGAAGCCCCGGUAAACGGCGGCCGUAACUAUAACGGUCCUAAGGUAGCGAAAUUCCUUGUCGGGUAAGUUCCGACCUGCACGAAUGGCGUAACGAUGGCGGCGCUGUCUCCACCCGAGACUCAGUGAAAUUGAAAUCGCUGUGAAGAUGCAGUGUAUCCGCGGCUAGACGGAAAGACCCCGUGAACCUUUACUGUAGCUUUGCACUGGACUUUGAGCCUGCUUGUGUAGGAUAGGUGGGAGGCUUUGAAGCGUGGACGCCAGUUCGCGUGGAGCCAUCCUUGAAAUACCACCCUGGCAUGCUUGAGGUUCUAACUCUGGUCCGUGAUCCGGAUCGAGGACAGUGUAUGGUGGGCAGUUUGACUGGGGCGGUCUCCUCCUAAAGAGUAACGGAGGAGUACGAAGGUGCGCUCAGACCGGUCGGAAAUCGGUCGCAGAGUAUAAAGGCAAAAGCGCGCUUGACUGCGAGACAGACACGUCGAGCAGGUACGAAAGUAGGUCUUAGUGAUCCGGUGGUUCUGUAUGGAAGGGCCAUCGCUCAACGGAUAAAAGGUACUCCGGGGAUAACAGGCUGAUACCGCCCAAGAGUUCAUAUCGACGGCGGUGUUUGGCACCUCGAUGUCGGCUCAUCACAUCCUGGGGCUGAAGCCGGUCCCAAGGGUAUGGCUGUUCGCCAUUUAAAGUGGUACGCGAGCUGGGUUUAGAACGUCGUGAGACAGUUCGGUCCCUAUCUGCCGUGGACGUUUGAGAUUUGAGAGGGGCUGCUCCUAGUACGAGAGGACCGGAGUGGACGAACCUCUGGUGUUCCGGUUGUCACGCCAGUGGCAUUGCCGGGUAGCUAUGUUCGGAAAAGAUAACCGCUGAAAGCAUCUAAGCGGGAAACUUGCCUCAAGAUGAGAUCUCACUGGGAACUUGAUUCCCCUGAAGGGCCGUCGAAGACUACGACGUUGAUAGGCUGGGUGUGUAAGCGUUGUGAGGCGUUGAGCUAACCAGUACUAAUUGCCCGUGAGGCUUGACCAU